rnacentral:rRNA from 1 species
UACGGAGGGUGCAAGCGUUAAUCGGAAUUACUGGGCGUAAAGCGUGCGUAGGCGGUUCGUUAAGUCUGUUGUGAAAGCCCCGGGCUCAACCUGGGAAUGGCAGUGGAUACUGGCGAGCUAGAGUGUGAUAGAGGAUGGUGGAAUUCCCGGUGUAGCGGUGAAAAUGCGUAGAGAUCGGGAGGAACAUCAGUGGCGAAGGCGGCCUCUGGAUCAACACUGACGCUGAGGCACGAAAGCGUGGGGGAGCAAACAGG